UACGUAGGGUGCAAGCGUUGUCCGGAAUUAUUGGGCGUAAAGAGCUCGUAGGCGGUUUGUCGCGUCUGCUGUGAAAACCCGAGGCUCAACCUCGGGCCUGCAGUGGGUACGGGCAGACUAGAGUGCGGUAGGGGAGACUGGAAUUCCUGGUGUAGCGGUGAAAUGCGCAGAUAUCAGGAGGAACACCGGUGGCGAAGGCGGGUCUCUGGGCCGAUACUGACGCUGAGGAGCGAAAGCGUGGGGAUCAAACAGG
rnacentral:rRNA from 1 species